ACCAAUAGUAAUAAAGUUUAAAAUAUAUCAAGGAGAUAAAAAUAUCACUUUAGGAAUAAAAUGGUUAGAACAAGUAAAACCACAUAAUCUAGAAGACAAACAGUUAACAAUAAAUUAUGAAAAUAAAAGAGUAAUAAUAAAAAGAACUUUAGUAUGAUAAAAAUAUGAAAAUAUAUAUACUUGCAAAGAUAAUAAUAGAGCAAUAUUACAACAGAUAUUAUACACCAAUGAUAGAUACAGGA
rnacentral:lncRNA from 1 species